rnacentral:rRNA from 1 species
GAUGAACGCUGGCGGCGUGCCUAAUACAUGCAAGUCGAGCGAACAGACGAGGAGCUUGCUCCUCUGACGUUAGCGGCGGACGGGUGAGUAACACGUGGAUAACCUACCUAUAAGACUGGGAUAACUUCGGGAAACCGGAGCUAAUACCGGAUAAUAUAUUGAACCGCAUGGUUCAAUAGUGAAAGACGGUUUUGCUGUCACUUAUAGAUGGAUCCGCGCCGCAUUAGCUAGUUGGUAAGGUAACGGCUUACCAAGGCGACGAUGCGUAGCCGACCUGAGAGGGUGAUCGGCCACACUGGAACUGAGACACGGUCCAGACUCCCACGGGAGGCAGCAGUAGGGAAUCUUCCGCAAUGGGCGAAAGCCUGACGGAGCAACGCCGCGUGAGUGAUGAAGGUCUUCGGAUCGUAAAACUCUGUUAUUAGGGAAGAACAAAUGUGUAAGUAACUAUGCACGUCUUGACGGUACCUAAUCAGAAAGCCACGGCUAACUACGUG